CCUGGUGUCAGCCGCCGCGGUAAUACCAGCUCUCCGAGUGGUGUGGAUGUUUAUUGGGCCUAAAGCAUCCGUAGCUGGCCAAGUUAGUCCCCUGUUAAAUCCACCGAAUUAAUCGUUGGAGUGCGGGGGAUACUGCUUGGCUAGGGGACGAGAGAGGCCGACGGUAUUUUCGGGGUAGGGGUGAAAUCCUAUAAUCCCGGGAAGACCACCAGUGGCGAAGGCUGUCGGCUAGAACGCGCCCGACGGUGAGGGAUGAAAGCUGGGGGAGCGAACCGGAUUAGAUACCCGGGUAGUCCCAGCUGUAAACGAUGCAGGCUAGGUGUUUGGGCGGCCACGGGCCGCUCUAGUGCCGCAGGGAAGCUGUUAA
rnacentral:rRNA from 1 species